rnacentral:lncRNA from 1 species
AAGGACCUCUGCUCGCUCCAGUCAACUCCACUCACUCAGUCCCUGCUCACUCCGGCCCAAGUAUUUAUUUAUUAUUAUACAUAAGUACACUGUAGCUGUCUUCAGACACACCAGAAGAGGGCGUCAGAUCUCAUUACAGGUGGUCGAGAGCCACCAUGUGGUGUCUGGGAUUUGGACCUUUGGAAGAGCAGUCAGUGUUCUUACCUGCUCAACCAUCCCGCCAGCCCAAGUUUUAAGUUUUAAUGAAGUCCAAUUUUCCUUUUUUUGUUAUUGUUGUUGUUGUUGCUUGUAAUUUCUGUGUCAUAUCUGAAAACAUAGUCUCUAACUCAAAUCUAUAAAGAUUUCCUUACAUUUUUUUCCUGAGAGUUUCAUGUUAGGUUCUCACAUUUAGGACUUUGGUGCAUUUUCAGUUACUUCUUGUGUGAGAUAAUGUAGGCAUUUAACUUUAUCCUUCCACAUAUGGAUAUUCCAUUUUUCCAGGACCACUUAUUUAAAAAUGUUAUUUCCCUACUGCAUUACCUUUCUGAAAGAAAUCAUCAGGCCCAUUUAAUUUGGUAGGUAAUUUCUAAUGCUCUUUCUAGAAGUAGAUCCUUCUAAUAUUAAAAAUUACUAGAGAAUGGAAAAGUACUCUGACCCAUUUUGUGUGACUAGAUUUGUUUUGAAAACAAAAUUAGUGAUAAAAGGGAAAUUACCAGCUUUGUUUAUAAAUAAAUCUGCAAAAAUUCUAAUCAUAAUAAAAGCCUGCCCAAUCUAGCCACAUCUGAAAGGUGGUGUGUAUGAUAAGCAAAGUCUACUCAAGGAGUGUGGGCAUGACCUGCCAGUACCUCCUGCCACAUUGACAGACUAAAGAAAAAAAAAGACAUUCAUGACAUCAUUACAAAUUCAGAAAAAGUAAACUCCAAAUUCACUCGUAAUGAUUCUGAAUACUGAAAAGAGAAGGUCCCUGUUACCCUGAAAAGAGGGUGUCGACCGCAGAGCUACAGAUGGGUCAGUCUGAACGAGGAGAUGGUGACCACGGUCCUGUUGUGUACUUAAGGGCACGGCGAGGGUGCUCACUACUAUUGCUUCUGUUCAGCAUUUCACUGGAAGUCAGAACCAGCAUAAAAGGUUUAAAAAAAAAAAAGAGCGAUAAAAUUUAAUUGCAGAUAAUCUCCUGACUGUAGAAAACAUAAAAUCGUCUCUAGGUACAUUUUGGAAAAAACUUUUGAACUAGCUAGUAUCUGAAAACAAUUGUUUCAACCGAAAAUAUAUGUAAUGAAAAAGAGAAUACAGAGUUUGGUGAGUGGUGAAAGGGUAUUGGGAGAGAGUGGUUAAUAUCAUCAACAUACUGGAAAUAUAUUGUAUGAAAGUCUCGGAGAAUAAAAAAAAGGUUUCACUAGUAGAUUCUGUUACAUCUACUGUAUCGGUUGAAACCCACUGAGUCCAUUUUGUGCCUUUACAUUCCUGGGAAUGUGGGCAUCCAGACAAGGAUGGUCAGCCUACCAGAGGCCACCCAUACUUCAAGGUUUAAAUUCCUUGGUAUUAAUUAUACACAGCAUUUUAAUUCAUUAUCACCCAUUAAACAGUUUUAAAAGCAUGUUGGACAGUAGCAUAAAACUAUGAGCUACUCUGGGAAAAGUUUAGAAAAGACUUUUUAUAAAAUGUCAAGUCUUCAGAGAAAACCCAAGUCAGUGCUCUUAACCACUGAGUCAUCUCUCCAGCCCUCAGUGAGAUUUUAUAAUCAGAAAAUGAUGUGUGUGGGCAGAGGAGGGAAGCUUCAGGUCUUAGUUCACUCAGGAAGCCUCAGCAAGUUUCCUGGUUAAUCGAUAAGCCUGUUGUAAGCGAAAGGAGGACUGAGGACGUGUGAAGACUGUGUGACUUCUAUAAAGGUACGCAAGCAUAGGAUUGGCAAAAGCACAGUGUGACCAAAGGAAUGUAGGAGAAAGUGUGCUAAGGAAGUCAGCACAGUUGGUGACAUUGUUCAUCAGAAGGAAAGGGUCUUUCUCUCUCAUAAAUGAUGCUAUGGCAAGUGAAAUCAGAUCCCCGCCACACCCAUAUAUAAAAAUAUAAAAAAAUAUAUAAAAAUAAACUUCAGUUGUGAAUGGUGACACCCACACUUGGUUGUGUAGGCAGGAGUAUCAUGAGUUCAGGAGGCCAACCUGGGCAAUAUAGUAAGAUCCUGUUUCAAUAACAAAAAUAGUUUUUCAGAUGUAGAACUUAAUACCUAAAAAACAAUUUGCAGGUUUAUUAUACGGAGCAGAAUUUAAAAAACAGAAGCACAACUUAAAUAACUCAAGAAAAAGACAAUAGAAAAAUGAUGAGGUUUCUAAGGAUGGCAGCAACAUCCACCAUCAUUCUUAAUUACGCAACUAUUAGCCUGUUAGAGAAGGGAGCGUUCAGAUGUUUGACAGUCCCAAACAGUGGGAAGUGUGGCUCAGCAAGAAUUCCUGUGUGGGAGUGUUAAACAUACCACUCUGAUACUGUCACUUCAGUUUGAAAAUACAUGUACCCUGUGACCCAGCAGUCCUACUCCUGGGCAUAGGCACAAGCAGAGCCCUGCUGCCGUGUGUACAUGAGUGUGCACUGUGCUGUUUAUAACCGCAGUGGCUUCAGAGGAACUGCUGAUGGAAUGAAGGAUAAUAAGACAGC